UAGCUUAACUUUAAAGCACUUCGCUUACACCGAAUAGAUGUUUAUUUACCUAAACUACUUUAA
rnacentral:tRNA from 1 species